CCAAAUCCACAAUCUCAGUAAAUUAGAAUAUUGUGAAAAGGUGCCAUAUUCUAGGCUCACAGUGUCCCACUCUAAUCAGCUAAGUAAGCCAUAACACCUGCAAUGGUCCCCUUUUACAUUGCAUUACUGAAAUAAAUCAACUUUUGCACGAUAUUCUAAUCUUUCGAGUAUCACCUGUACAUCUUCCCUAUAUAGACCAAAG